rnacentral:misc_RNA from 1 species
AAAAAAAAAAAAAAAAAAAAGAUUAAAAAAAAAAAAAAAAAAAAUCUUAAUCUUUCUUUGUUAAUUUAAUUAAUCCUCUGGCUGUGUAUCAUUGUUAUGGAGUAUAAUUUAAUUAAUGCUCUCUUUUUUACACAUGGCUCCGUGCAGUGAAAGAAUCUCUGUAGAAAGGCUAACUAAUUUUGAUUAAUUAGCCAGUAAAUGACAAAAACAAAAGUACCCUUUAACCUCAAUUAGCUUUAAUCAUAUUCCAAACUUGAAGAAAUGGUUAAUGUAUAUAGAAAUAAUCAAUAAAGAUUCCAUUAUAAAGAAUAAUUAAUACAGA